rnacentral:rRNA from 1 species
CUUGGUCAUUUAGAGGAAGUAAAAGUCGUAACAAGGUAUCCGUAGGUGAACCUGCGGAUGGAUUAUUAACAAUUUUUAAUGACAAACACAUGUGAACUGUAUGUUGGUAGGUUUUAUCCACCAAUUUAUUUAAUUUUUAUACUGAAAACAUGAUAUAUAACAAUCAUAAAACUUUUAGCAACGGAUCUCUGGGCUCUCGCAACGAUGAAGAACGCGGCGAAUUGCGAAAAGUAAUGUGAAUUGCAUAUACCGUGAAUCAUCAAAUUUUUGAACGCACCUUGCACCAUUGGGAAUUCUCGAUGGUACGUCUGUUUGAGUAUCAAUUAAAAUCUGCAUCUUUACUUGGUAACAUGUGAAGCUUGCAUUGCGAAUGAUUAACUGAGUUAACUUAGUUACCAUUUUAGAAUCAUAGUCUGGCUCACGCUAACAACAGAGUUUAACACUUUUGUUUGUGCAGCUCAAGCACUUUCAGACUUUUGUACGAUUGAUUCGUACUUUUAACUUUGAUCUCAAAUCAGACGAGGAUACCCGCUGAACUUAAGCAUAUCAAUAAGCGGAGGA